rnacentral:rRNA from 1 species
UGCAGAAUUCAGUGAAUCAUCGAAUCUUUGAACGCACCUUGCGCUCCUUGGUAUUCCCGAGGAGCAUGCCUGUUUGAGUGUCAUU